rnacentral:rRNA from 1 species
UACGUAGGGAGCAAGCGUUAAUCGGAAUUACUGGGCGUAAAGCGUGCGCAGGCGGUGAUGUAAGACAGAUGUGAAAUCCCCGGGCUCAACCUGGGAACUGCAUUUGUGACUGCAUCGCUGGAGUACGGCAGAGGGGGAUGGAAUUCCGCGUGUAGCAGUGAAAUGCGUAGAUAUGCGGAGGAACACCGAUGGCGAAGGCAAUCCCCUGGGCCUGUACUGACGCUCAUGCACGAAAGCGUGGGGAGCAAACAGG